rnacentral:misc_RNA from 1 species
GAUGAAGAACGUAGCGAAAUGCGAUAAGUAAUGCGAAUUGCAGAAUUCCAGUGAGUCAUCGAAUCUUUGAACGCACAUUGCGCCCGCCAGUAUUCUGGCGGGCAUGCCUGUUCGAGCGUCAUUUCAACCCUCAAGCCCUCGGGUUUGGUGUUGGGGAUCGGCGAGCCUUUCUGGCAAGCCGGCCCCGAAAUCUAGUGGCGGUCUCGCUGCAGCCUCCAUUGCGUAGUAGUAAAACCCUCGCAACUGGAACGCGGCGCGGCCAAGCCGUUAAACCCCCAACUUCUGAAUGUUGACCUCGGAUCAGGUAGGAAUACCCGCUGAACUUAAGCAUAUCAAUAAGCGGAGGA